CCCAAUCCCCAAAAUACUGUCGACCCCAAGCUGCUAUACACCCCAAACAAUAGAAUUGCUCCCAAUCCCUAAAAUACCCCCCACCCCAAGCUGCGGUGCUUCUAUAUAAGCAAGUAAUACACCCUCAUCACAGUUCAUCACUUUACUCUUACAAAAUGGUGAGGAAGGGUUUGACGGAUAGGGCUAGCCUGUUGUACGUGUAUGCGUUUAAGUGCCUUAUUGUGGCAAAAAUUUGGUUACUAAAGACCGGCUUAAGGCCCACACACGGGCAACGCACCCGAUACUUAGCUAUGUAUGUAUGUGCGCCCAGGGAUUCUCAAACCUACAAGGACGACUUGCAGCGCACAAAUCUUUGUGCGCACGUCGUCAUGGAAAAUUCUCCCGUGCCAAAGUUGAAGAGGCGUCCUUGAAAUCCGCAAGGAGUUGUUUCGGGGAAAGGAUUAAGGUUUAUAAUGAUGAAGAGGAGAAGAAUAAGAAGGGUGAAGAGCAUCAAGAUGAAUAUGAAGAGGGAGAGGAUGAAGAGCAUGAAGAUGAAGGGGAAGAGGGAGAAGAUAAAGAGGAAAAGGUAAAGAACGAGAAGGGAGCUCAUAAGAAGGAAAGUUGAAGAACAAAGAAUGGGAGCUCACAAGAAGGAUUAGGUUAGUAUUUUUUUAUUUUUAUGAAUCUGAUAUAUUGGUAUCUCUGGCAGUCUUGGUAGUGUCGGAGAAAUUUUAAUUACUAUUUGGAUUUUGACUUGUUAUUAGAACUUGAAGCAAAACACUUGGAUCUCUCGGGUUUAUUUGGGUUAAUUCUUAAGGGAGUGUUGGUAUUGGUAAAGGGUGUCAUCAUCGAAUAUAGUCUGAGCAGUCUUUAGACAUACCAAUUUGUGCCUUUUUUUCUAAUAAAAUGGAGACUUGAUCUCUUUAAUAGAGUAACUCAUUUGGAAUUUUUUUUUUCUUUUUUUUUUGGUUUUUUGUCUUGUUGGGAUUAUGUAAAAAUGUUGUUAAAUAGGUAUCAAUUUCAUGUAGGGAAUGUUGGUUUUGGUAAAGGGUGUCAUCAAUCGAACAUAGUUUGAGCAGUCUUUAGACAUGCCAAUUUGUGCCUUUUUUUUUAUAAGAUGGAGGCUUGAUCUCUUUAUAGAGUAACUCAUUUGGAUUUCUUUUUUUGUUUUUUGUUCUUUUGAGAUUAUGUAAAAAUCUUGUUAAAUAAGUAUCAAUUUCAUGUAGGGAGUGUUGGUAUUGGUAAAGGGUGUCAUCAUCGAACAUAGUUUGAGCAGUCUUUAGACAUACCGGUGCUCCAUUCACAGCUAUCGGCUUAUGUUAGUGCCAACGCUUGCCGGUCGCCCGAAUGGGUCGAGGGCGCCCGACGAAGGAGAAGACUGAAGCAGGUUAUUACUCAGAAAAUGGAGUCAUAGAAGGGAUUAAAGCAUUAUAUGCACGUAGUCGCAAAAUAAUUGCUGGCGUUGCCACAACGAGGUAGUAUUACUCCACCAGUAAUGGGAUACCGGAUAAUGGUCAGAAGAGCUCCAGCGCCUUGCCGAACACGCAAGCUAGAUAGUGCUCACCGAUGGUGGUGUCACCUCAGACAAAUGCAGCAGGACAGUCAAGUGUUCGACAAAAAUGCCCAAGAGAAUAUCAGUACCAUACCAGGGGUGCUAGUUAUCCCACCAGGUCAGCUGCAGGAUCAAAUAAGAGCUAGUGCAUGAAGCUAACUAGUUUUUAGAUCUACAUAUGCAGUACUAAACCCAAGAAAGGAUAUAGAGUCAAUCCCAAAAUCCAACCCAAAGAACAUGAGCCCAAUAAAGGCCAUAAAGGAAGUGGGGUUGGGACUUAUUGCUUACGCACCUGAUCAACUAACUAGCCUUAUUGCAAAGGGGCAGGUACCAACUAACUGGAAUCAGACAUCUUGGAUAGUUCAAAGAAUUUUUAAUGCACAUAAUACAUUGAACAAGUAGGCAGUGAUAUAUCAGAUGCGUGUAGACACAGAUGCUUCUCUAUCAAAGAAAUGCACAUCAAGUUGAGAGAUGUGAUGCCUAAGGUGGAAUGGAGGAACUAGUAUGUAAUAACCAAGGAGCUCCUAAGUGGAUAUUCAUUUUGUAUGUGGCACUAUCUAGGAGGCUUCUUACAAGGAUCAGAUUGCCCAAAUGGGGGAUUGUCAAUGAGGUCAAAUGUCUUCUUUGUGAGAGAGUGGAUGAGGAUAUCAAUCACUUUUUGUUUGAAUGCUCUUUCUCUACAACUAUCUGGAGGAAGAUACUAAAGUUUCAAAGGAUACUAAGAGGAGUAUUGAACUUGAAACAGGAGAUGCAGUGGGCAAUUGAUUAUGCUAAAGGAAGAACUGGUGCUGCAGAAGUCUAUAGAAUGGCCCCAGCAAGCUGUGUCUAACAUGUCUGGCAAGAAAGGAACUAGAGAAUUUUUUAGAAGAUAUCAAGAGGAACUGUGGAGAUAACAAGAUUGAUCAUACAAGAAUUUCAUUGUAGAGGAAGCAAGAAAGCUGCUAUAGCAAAAGUGUUAGACAGAUUGAAUUUUUAUCCCUAACUAGUUGUAUAGGCGGUGAUGACAUGAGGAUGUUGAUGGCAGCAGUAGAGACUGGCUUUUAGCUCUACUGUUUUUUUUUUUUUUUUUUUUUUUUACAGAUUUGCUAACUUAGUAAAUAAAAUCUCCACUUACCAAAAAAGAAAAAUUCAAUUCGACUAAAACUCGAAUCAAAUUUUAGGUAUAAAAGUGACGAAAAUAACUGCUAAAAAUGGGAACAUAAGAGUGACUGAUAUUUACAUGGUAGUGACAUAUACUCCCUCUAUCCCAAUUUGUUUGACACUUUUCGCAUUCGAGAGUCAAACUUCUUAAUUUUGACCGUGUGUUUGAACAUAAAAUAAUUUUAUUUUUUGAAAUAAAAUUUACAUAUUUAGAAAUUACGUAAAAAGCACUCUAAUAUGGUGUUUGUGUUUGAGCAAAAAGUAACUCUUUUAAUUAAUUUAAUUAUUUUCUACUACUCCAUAAUUUGCGUGAGAAGAAAUAUUUAGUGUUGUUGACAAGCAGACACAAAGGAAAAAGCAGCGGACAAAUUAAUAAAGUGGAACCCACUAAGAUAAUUAGUUGGAAAAAAUUUCGCAUGCAUAAAUUUUCCUUUUGAAAAGGGUAUAAUUGUCAAAGCAACAUAAAUAUUUAUGAAGCAAAGCCACUGUACAUUACUUCUCAGCCAAUAGAAUUGCUCCCAAUCCCCAAAAUACCCCCGACCCCAAGUUGCGAUGCUUCAAUAUAAGUAGGUAACACACCCCCAAACAAUAGAAUUGCUCCCAAUCCCUAAAAUAUCCCCGACCCCAAGUUGCGGUGCUUCUAUAUAAGCAAGUAAUACAGCCCUAUACCAGUUCAUCACAUUCACUUUACUCUUACAAAAUGGUGAGGAAGGGUUUGAGGGAUACAGCUAGCCUGUUGUACGUGUAUGCAUUUAAGUGCCUUAAUUGUAGAAAAAUUUGGUUACUAAAGACGGCUUAAGGCCCACACGCGGGCAACGCACCCGACAUUUAGCUAUGUAUGUAAGUGUGUCCAGUGAUUCUCGAACCCAUAAGGACUUGCGGCGCACAAAUCUUGGUGCAUAGGUCGUUAUGGAAAAUUCUCCCGUGCCAAAGUUGAAGAGGCGCUCCUUGAGAACCGCAAGAAGUUGUUUCAUGGGGAAAGGGAGAAGAAUGAGAAGGGUGAAGAGCAUGAAGAUGAAUAUGAAGAGGGAGAGGAUGAAGAGCAUGAAGAUGAAAAUGAAGAUGAAGAGGAAGAGGGAGAGGAUGAUAAGGAUGAAGAGGAAAAGGUGAAGAACAAGAAGGGAGCUCACAAGAAGGAAAAGUUGAAGAACAAGAAAAGGGCUCACAAGAAGCAUUAGUUUGGUAUUUUUUUUUAUUUUUAUGAAUCUGACAUAUUGAUAUCUCUAGCAGUCUUGGUAGUAUCGGAUAAAUUUUAAUUACUAUUUGGAGUUUGACUUGUUAUUAAAACUUGAAGCAAACACUUGGAUCUCUCAGGUUUAUUUGGGUUGAUUCUUAAGGUAUCUUAACUUGAACAAGCAAGAUUGUAAAUUUCAUUUCAACUUUAGACUUACAUACCAAUUUGUGCCUUUUUUCUGAUAAGAUGGAGACUUGAUCUCUUUAAUAGAGUAACUUGUUUGGAUUUCCUUUUUUGUUUUUUGUUUUGUUGGAAUUAUGUAAACAUGUUGUUAAAUAAUUAUCAAUUUCAUGUAGGGAGUGUUGGUAUUGGUAAAGGGUGUCAUCAUCGAACAUAGUUUGAGCAGUCUUUAGACAUACCAAUUUAUGCCUUUUUCUGAUAAGAUGGAGACUUGAUCUCUUUAAUAGAGUA